rnacentral:rRNA from 1 species
GAUCCUGGCUCAGGAUGAACGCUAGCUACAGGCUUAACACAUGCAAGUCGAGGGGAAACGACAUCGAAAGCUUGCUUUUUGAUGGGCGUCGACCGGCGCACGGGUGAGUAACGCGUAUCCAACCUGCCCAUCACUUGGGAAUAACCUUGCGAAAGUAAGACUAAUGCCCAAUGACAUCCCACGAAGGCAUCCGAAUGGGAUUAAAGAUUUAUCGGUGAUGGAUGGGGGAUGCGUCUGAUUAG